CCUCUAAGGGGUAUUGGAAUAAUUGUGCUUUCAUAUGGGGUUCUAAGAGUCGGAUCCUCCUCUGGGAAAAGAUAAUCUCUUUGACCCUUUUAUUCAAAAAACUUUCCCAGUGACAAAAACUUAAUGCAGGUUAUUGGACAAAUCUCUUUUCUGAGCCAUAUUUUCCUUGUUGGAUUCACCAAGAGGGUUGAACCAGAUGACCUGUGAAAUCUCUGUUAAGUCAGGAGGAGAAAGGAGAAAAGGACUAAAAGUGCCAAUGGGCAAGAAGGACAGAGGCAAAACUUGUCAGGGUUCCUCCCAUCAAGCCUGUGAUGUUUAUUUUUAAAGUCACCAUCUGGUGCUUACAUUUUCAGUUUUUGUUAUGUGAACAGGUGUGUAUAUGAGAGAGAAGGGGAGGGAGAGGACUGUGUCUCUGUCUCUUUACCUAGGAUUUAAGAAAGCCAAGGUCGUGGGCCAAGAGUCAGCUCUAGGAACCUCAGCAGAUGCUGUCCCUCAGUAUUGGAUACUUCCAGUUGUUAAAAGUGGAGUGCAGGCUUUGCCUUCUGGGGACAGGCCACAGCCCACGUCAUGCCUCUGCACUCCCAUUGCAUCUGCUGUCUGCUGUCCUGGGAAAUGAGAGCUCCGUUAAUAUUUCAGUGCCUCUGGCUGAGAUGAUAUAGCCAGGGUGUUGUGCUGUGAACCUGACCAGUUCACUCUCCAUCCUGCUGCUGCUGGCGCUGAGCUGGUUGAAGGAAACUAAGAGUGAGCUGGGAAUGGCCAGACCUGGGCUUCAGGGAUGGGAGGAAAAGGCAGAAUGAGGAGCGAGACCUACAAGCCACUGCAUCAGCUUUGGACUUGUCUAUCAUAGCUGCCUUCCCACUCCCCAGGCCCUCAUCCUCCUCUCUAGAAAGGGAGGAAGUAGCUCCUCUUGGAGGUGAGGCUGAGCUGGAGUGAGCCGCAGGUCAGACUAGGUUUCACUCUACUUGUAAAAUGUGAGCAGAAUUGUGGCCUGCCUCUCUCUCUUUGGGCCACAGUGACAGUCACCUGAAGGGAAGAGGAGGCCCAGAGAAUUUACAUUGUUGACAAAGUCACUCAAGUUACUCCAAAAGCCCUGUCUGGAAUGCAGCCCUUAAGAUCCAGCCAGUGCUCUUCCCACACCUUACCCAGAACAGAUUGAGUACACCAGACCAGCGUCCUGAAAUAUCCAUCUGAAAACAACAUAGUGAUUUUUGCACACACACUCACACGCAAUCUCGGUUAUGUCUUUGUUUAUACCCGUUAAUUUAAAGUGCUCGUAGUGACUCAUUCAUUCACCCAGUGUUUGUUAAAUACUUAUUGUGUGCCAGAUUCCAUAGCAGGUUGUAGGAAUACAAAGAUGUGCAAGGCAUGGUUCUUGCUCUUAAAUAACUCUCAGCCUGAUGGAGAAAACAUUUUUUUUUCAAGAAGUAGAUGAGUACAAAAUGCAAAUAAAGUCACCAUAUCCACCUCACCAUGUCUGUGAUGGAAUCGGAGAAGCAGGCAUCCAGCUCAGGAUAAGGGGCAAUAAAUGGCAGGAGGGGCAGGAGCUAGGUUUUCUGAAAGGAACUCUAGGCUGUUGUUAAAGAAU
rnacentral:lncRNA from 1 species